GACGAACGCUGGCGGCGUGCCUAAUACAUGCAAGUAGAACGCUGAAGAGAGGAGCUUCCUCUUCUUGGAUGAGUUGCGAACGGGUGAGUAACGCGUAGGUAACCUGCCUUGUAGCGGGGGAUAACUAUUGGAAACGAUAGCUAAUACCGCAUAACAAUGGAUGACACAUGUCAUUUAUUUGAAAGGGGCAAUUGCUCCACUACAAGAUGGACCUGCGUUGUAUUAGCUAGUAGGUGAGGUAAUGGCUCACCUAGGCGACGAUACAUAGCCGACCUGAGAGGGUGAUCGGGCACAAUGGGACUGAGACAAGGCCCAGACUCCUACGGGAAGCAGCAGUAGGGAAUCUUCGGCAAUGGGGGCAAACCUGACCGAGCAAAGCCGCGUGAGUGAAGAAGGGUUUCGGAUCGUAAAGCUCUGUUGUAAGUGAAGAACGGGUGGGAGAGUGGAAAGUUCACACUGUGACGGUAGCUUAACAGAAAGGGACGGCUAACUACGUG
rnacentral:rRNA from 1 species